rnacentral:rRNA from 1 species
GAUGAACGCUAGCGGCAGGCUUAAUACAUGCAAGUCGUGGGGCAGCAGGGUUGUAGCAAUACAAUCGCUGGCGACCGGCAAACGGGUGCGGAACACGUACGCAACCUUCCUUUAAGUGGAGGAUAGCCCGGGGAAACCCGGAUUAAUACUCCGUAACAUUAUGAAAUGGCAUCAUUUUAUAAUUAUAGCUCCGGCGCUUAAAGAUGGGCGUGCGCCUGAUUAGGUAGUUGGCGGGGUAAUGGCCCACCAAGCCUACGAUCAGUAACUGGUGUGAGAG